GACGGGGAUCGAUUUAGCCAUGCUAGUUGCACGGGUUCAGACUCGUGGCAUAUAGCUCAGUAACACGUGGCCAAACUACCCUACAGACCGCAAUAACCUCGGGAAACUGAGGCCAAUAGCGGAUAUAACUCUCAGGCUGGAGUGCCGAGAGUUAGAAACGUUCCGGCGCUGUAGGAUGUGGCUGCGGCCGAUUAGGUAGAUGGUGGGGUAACGGCCCACCAUGCCGAUAAUCGGUACAGGUUGUGAGAGCAAGAGCCUGGAGACGGUAUCUGAGACAAGAUACCGGGCCCUACGGGGCGCAGCAGGCGCGAAACCUUUACACUGCACGACAGUGCGAUAGGGGGACUCCGAGUGUGAGGGCAUAUAGCCCUCGCUUUUCUGAACCGUAAGGUGGUACAGGAACAAGGACUGGGCAAGACCGGUGCCAGCCGCCGCGGUAAUACCGGCAGUCCAAGUGAUGGCCGAUAUUAUUGGGCCUAAAGCGUCCGUAGCUUGCUGUGUAAGUCCAUUGGGAAAUCGACCAGCUCAACUGGUCGGCGUCCGGUGGAAACUACACAGCUUGGGGCCGAAAGACUCGACGGGUACGUCCGGGGUAGGAGUGAAAUCCUGUAAUCCUGGACGGACCACCAAUGGGGAAACCACGUUGAGAGAACGGACCCGACAGUGAGGGACGAAAGCCAGGGUCUCGAACCGGAUUAGA
rnacentral:rRNA from 1 species